rnacentral:rRNA from 1 species
GUCUAUGGUCAUGCCACCCUGAACAGGCCCGAUCCCCUCUGAUCUCAGAAGCUAAGCAGGGUCAAGCCUGGUUAGUACUUGGAUGGGAGGCCACCUAGGAAGACCAGGUGCUGCAGGUG